AACUGCCCUCAAGGAGCUUACAAUCUAGCUGGGGGUGAACGGCUUGCACAUGAACGCAACUAGACUGUGAGCUUCUAGAGGGCAGGGA
rnacentral:pre_miRNA from 12 species